rnacentral:rRNA from 1 species
GGGCCCGCACAAGCGGCGGAGCAUGCGGAUUAAUUCGAUGCAACGCGAAGAACCUUACCAAGGCUUGACAUGCACGGGAAAGUUCCAGAGAUGGUUCCCCCGCAAGGUCCGUGCACAGGUGGUGCAUGGUUGUCGUCAGCUCGUGUCGUGAGAUGUUGGGUUAAGUCCCGCAACGAGCGCAACCCUUGUCUUAUGUUGCCAGCACGUGAUGGUGGGGACUCAUAAGAGACUGCCGGGGUCAACUCGGAGGAAGGUGGGGAUGACGUCAAAUCAUCAUGCCCCUUAUGUCUUGGGCUUCACGCAUGCUACAAUGGCCGGUACAAAGGGCUGCGAAACCGUGAGGUGGAGCGAAUCCCAAAAAGCCGGUCUCAGUUCGGAUUGGGGUCUGCAACUCGACCCCAUGAAGUCGGAGUCGCUAGUAAUCGCAGAUCAGCAACGCUGCGGUGAAUACGUUCCCGGGCCUUGUACACACCGCCCGUCACGUCACGAAAGUCGGUAACACCCGAAGCCAGUGGCUCAACCCCCUUGUGGGGAGGGAGCUGUCGAAGGUGGGAUCGGCGAUUGGGACGAAGUCGUAACAAGGUAGCCGUACCGGAAGGUGCGGCU